rnacentral:rRNA from 1 species
UGGGUAACCUGCCUCAAAGAGGGGAAUAGCCUCCCGAAAGGGGAGAUUAAUACCGCAUAAUAUGUUUUGGUCACAUGGCCUUAACAUCAAAGGAUUUCUUCGGAAAUUCACUUUGAGAUGGACCCCGCGGCGCAUUAGCUAGUUGGUGAGGUAACGGCUCACCAAGGCAACGAUGCGUAGCCGACCUGAGAGGGUGAUCGGCCACAUUGGAACUGAGACACGGUCCAGACUCCGUAGGGAGG